CACAAUCUUCAUCAUCACACAAGACACAACAACAACAACAAUGAACAACAUCCUCAUCUGGAUUCUCUGUAUAUGUAUACAAGGUUUCAGUGGACAAGUGACUGUGACUCAGACUCCCUCUGUAAAAACAGUUCAGAUUGGUGAAUCAGUCACUAUAAACUGUAAAACAAACACAGUAGUGAGCAAUGACUGUCCAGGUUCAUAUACUUGUAUGGCCUGGUAUCAGCAGAAACCUGAAGAAGCUCCUAAACUCUUGAUUCGUUAUGCAGUCCAAAGAGAAUCAAACACUCCAUCUAGAUUCAGUGGCAGUGGAUCCAGAACUGAUUUCACUCUGACCAUCAGUGGAGUCCAGACUGAAGAUACAGGAGAUUAUUACUGUCUGAGUUACCACAAUGAUCCAGCGUUCACACAGUGA